rnacentral:rRNA from 1 species
UACGAAGGGGGCUAGCGUUGCUCGGAAUCACUGGGCGUAAAGGGUGCGUAGGCGGGUCUUUAAGUCAGGGGUGAAAUCCUGGAGCUCAACUCCAGAACUGCCUUGAUACUGGCGACCUUGAGUCCGGGAGAGGUGAGUGGAACUGCGAGUGUAGAGGUGAAAUUCGUAGAUAUUCGCAAGAACACCAGUGGCGAAGGCGGCUCACUGGGUCUCUUCUGACGCUCAGGCACGAAAGCUAGGG